UGGACAGAUUAUUGUAUUCGAUUGUAUUCGACUGUAUUCACGGCGUGAAACAGGGGAUUACACUAUUUUUAAACGGAAAGUGAAUCAAUUAACAUAAUAGACUCCU
rnacentral:pre_miRNA from 1 species